rnacentral:pre_miRNA from 1 species
UUUGUACUCCCUCCGUCCCAAAAUUCUUGUCUUAGAUUUGUCUAGAUACGGAUGUACCUAAUACUAAAACGUGACUUGAUACAUCCGUAUUUAGACAAAUCUAAGACAAGAAUUUUGGGACGGAGGGAGUAUAAU